GCAAAAGUAUCGGGGGCGGGACUCGCUGAGGUGCGAAAACUGGGCCAGGGGCAGGGCUUUGACCAGCUACUUGAGCGUGAAGGGGCGGCGCCCGCACGAAGGGGCGUCCCAGCUUGGAGGCGGGGCCCGGAUGGGAGGGGCGGGGCCGAGUGCAGUAUCCCGCCAGACUUUCCGCAGGGUGUGCGCGAGUGUCGGGAGCCGGAACUGGGCCUGGAGGAGCUCCUCCGCCACCGCUGUCAGCUGCUGCAGCAGCAUGAGGAGUACCAGGAGGAGCUGGAGUUCUGUGAAAAGCUGCUACAGACCUGUUUCUCCAGCCCAGCGGACGACAGCAUGGAUCGGUGAAACCAGGUGGCUUCUUGCCCCCUUCUCCGUGGGAACCCCAGGCCUCUUGCCUCCCUCCCCACCUACAAGGCCCUCUCCCAAGGGAUCGCAGGGCCUAGGUGCCUGGACCCAGGGUGUGCCAGCCCGUCUCUGUGCAGUCCCUGGAAGGGGCGCUGAGAAAGGCACCAGCUCCUUGGACCCCACCUCCCAUGCUCUCACUCUCAUCCCCGUUCUCUUGUCCACACAGCUCUUCCAAUAAAGGUGUUUCUCUUCCUCCUUCUCCUCCUUCACUGCCGCCUUUGUCAUCUCCUUUGGAGGGUGCAUGGGGGACGGGAGGAGGGGCACGGGUUUAAGGGACUUGGGGAGCCACUGGAAGAAUAAUAAAAGUGUUGCUCUUUAUCAUCU
rnacentral:lncRNA from 1 species